rnacentral:rRNA from 1 species
UACGUAGGGGGCAAGCGUUGUCCGGAAUCAUUGGGCGUAAAGCGCGUGUAGGCGGCCCGGUAAGUCCGCUGUGAAAGUCGGGGGCUCAACCCUCGAAUGCCGGUGGAUACUGUCGGGCUAGAGUGCGGAAGAGGAGAGUGGAAUUCCCGGUGUAGCGGUGAAAUGCGCAGAUAUCAGGAGGAACACCAAUGGCGAAGGCAGCUCGCUGGGACGGGUACUGACGCUGAGACGCGAAAGCGUGGGGAGCAAACAGG